rnacentral:rRNA from 1 species
UACGUAGGGUGCAAGCGUUAAUCGGAAUUACUGGGCGUAAAGCGUGCGCAGGCGGUUAUGCAAGACAGAGGUGAAAUCCCCGGGCUCAACCUGGGAACUGCCCUUGUGACUGCAUAGCUAGAGUACGGUAGAGGGGGAUGGAAUUCCGCGUGUAGCAGUGAAAUGCGUAGAUAUGCGGAGGAACACCGAUGGCGAAGGCAAUCCCCUGGACCUGUACUGACGCUCAUGCACGAAAGCGUGGGGAGCAAACAGG